rnacentral:rRNA from 1 species
GAUGAACGCUGGCGGCGUGCCUAAUACAUGCAAGUCGAGCGAACAGACGAGGAGCUUGCUCCUCUGACGUUAGCGGCGGACGGGUGAGUAACACGUGGAUAACCUACCUAUAAGACUGGGAUAACUUCGGGAAACCGGAGCUAAUACCGGAUAAUAUAUUGAACCGCAUGGUUCAAUAGUGAAAGACGGUUUUGCUGUCACUUAUAGAUGGAUCCGCGCCGCAUUAGCUAGUUGGUAAGGUAACGGCUUACCAAGGCAACGAUGCGUAGCCGACCUGAGAGGGUGAUCGGCCACACUGGAACUGAGACACGGUCCAGACUCCUACGGGAGGCAGCAGUAGGGAAUCUUCCGCAAUGGGCGAAAGCCUGAUGGAGCAACGCCGCGUGAGUGAUGAAGGUCUUCGGAUCGUAAAACUCUGUUAUUAGGGAAGAAAAAAUGUUUAAGUAACUAUGCACGUCUUGACGGUACCUAAUCAGAAAGCCACGGCUAACUACGUG